CAGGGAAUCCCAAGAGUCUGGCGACCUGUGAGUCAGGAAUUGUGGAGGAAGACCAAAUAUAUAAGAGAAAUAGAUUUGUUUAACUGAAUGACCGAAUAUGUAUUUCUCGUAAAUUACAACACGGCCCUAGGCCACCCUCAUUCCCUGGUUGGUGGCCUUUUCCACCAUCUUCAAAGCCAAGAAUGUCAGAAGUUGUGAGAAGUGUUUGAAUCUUGGAUAUAUUUUGAAGGAGAGCCAGGAAUAUACGCUGAUGAGUUGGAUGGAGAGUAAGGAUGAGCCCAGAGUUCUGGUCUGAAGAACUGGAAGCCUGGAGUGGCCCUUGACCGCAAAUGAGCAUGUCCAGGUGGUAUUUGUGACCACAACGUGUCCUGUGCGCCAUGCUAACGUUAGAGUGGCAGCCAGAGAAGUGACGAUCCCACACUGUCAAGAGCAUGUGGUCUACCCUGCAGCGGUAUUUCACGGCCUCCAUUAGAAGCACCAGAAAUUGCCGGAGAUUCCCCUUAGCCGUGCUCACAGGAAGCCCUUGUCAAGGCCCAUUGCAUGGGCCUGACAGCGGCUCUCUCAUUGCUGGGGCCACAACACAGCGCAUCUUUCCUGCUGCUCUGGAUCAUGGCCUCUUGGGCUUCCUCUCUUGCGCUUCCAAAUUCUUGGGGAGAUUGCCACUUCCUGCCCCGGCCUCUUUCUGCUGGUCCUAUCCUGCUGCCCUUCACCUUCUCGCGCCCACCUGCCUCACAGCACUUACCAGAUCAAAGCAAUCACCUGAAGCAGUGAAACACACGGGUGAAACCGAAAGGCGAGCUCUUCGUUUAUCUUUCAUUCCUCAAGGACUGAUGGGCCUCCGGCUGCUCCUAGCCACUCGCUUUCCCGCAUUCUGCCUAGAUUGGCCUCCCUCUAAAUGCCCCGUGCUCCUUAAUGACCCUUCCCUGCCCCCGUGAUCGCACUCUCCAGCUUCGUGAGCAGCCAUCACAGAUAAAAGUAACAUGAAGGGUUCAUCCGUGAUAGGCAGAAUGGGGAUCCCAUGGGGCCAGAAAUCGAGAGACUCGAUUCAAGUUCCAAUUCUACCAGUGACCAGCUGUGAGAUAUUAGUCGUGUCGCACACACCCUCUGGGGUCACUUUCCCCUUAUCUUUUAAAUGGAAACCUCAGAGGCUCUGAUGGCUUUACACCGCGCCCACCUUGUCAGGUUGCCCUACAUUUCCCAGAAUUCCCUUUCUUGUGUGUUUCCCGUUAGGACUUCCCACGAAGAAGACCCUUGGCAAGUUCUGGAGGGUGGAAAGGGAGCGGCAGCCGUUCCCAGUGAGUGUCAGCUCACUGAUACUAUUGCUGAUCUGCUAACUCACCUCACUGGCUUGAAGAAGCAGCUGGUCUCUAACUCCUCUACCCCCCCCACCCCGACCCCCGCCAGGGUCCUUCCUCCUUCAGCGUCUACCAGGGGUGGGUCAGGUGUGUAUGCUUAACUCUAUGACAAAGGAUGCCUAGGGCUUCUGCGUACAUCACUAAGGAGAAAGGCAAUGAGAACUCACAUGGGUUUUAGUCCGUCCGCACAGAGUGCUAGUUUAUUCUUGGAGCUGAGCAUUCAUUUGGCUCAUGGAUCUGUAGGACCAUUGAGGGUAUUCUUUACAUGGUAUGUCUAAUGGUCACCUGCCAUGAAUUGGAUCCACUUGUGUGUAUUCUGGAGCCCAGUGUGAAAGGACAGCAGCUACCUGGGAGAGGCUGUGUUCUUGGAGAUGGCAGAAGCUCAAGUUAAGCCAGCACCUGUCGAAAUUUUUUUUUUAAGUUUAUUUAUUUCCUUUGAGUGAGAGUGUGAGGGAGGGGCAGGGAGGGAAGGAGAGAGCGAAUCAAGCCAAGCUCCACUCUGUCAGAGUAGAGCCCAAUAUAGGGCUUGAACUCCUGAACCGUGAGAUCACGACCUGAGCCAAAAUCAAGAGUCAGAAGCUGAAAGGAUUGAGCCACCCAAGCACCCCAAGCAAGCCCAGUUCAGACUCUGGAUUGCAUCAUGUCUGCUAACAUCUCAUUGGCCAAAGCAAAUCACAUGGCUAACUCUAAACUCAGAAGAGGGAGAGGCACACUCACCUCUCCUGGGAGGAGCUGUGGGAAGUAUAUAGGAAAGAGCGUAGGUUCAGACUAAAGAGUUGAGGCCACAUUUAAAAUACAGCAAGCAAAAGGUAAUAGAGGGCAGAGAGUAACAUAAAACAAUAAAAAAUAAAAAAUACAGCAAGCACUGGGUGUUUGUUACAUAUAAGUGAUGAAUCACUGAGUUCUACUCCUGAAACCGAUACUACACCAUAUGUUAACUAACUUGAAUAUAAAUAAAUAAAUUAAAAAAUAAAUAAAAUACCGUGGUUUGGAAAAGUGUCCGGAAACCCGCUUCUGCUGCUUACAAGCUAUGACAUAACUAGAAAUGGUUGUAAAUAAACAAAGGGAUCUCUCUUCUAGUUCUAACUCUGCCAUCAAGGAGCUGUGGCAUAUUGGGAAAGGUAAUCCAUAAAGUUUUGUCUGGAAAACAAGGGUAAUAAUAUUCAUCCCUGGAGGAAGGUCAGUUUGAUCAGAUCUUUUAAGGAUUCUAUGAGUUAGGGAGAAAAUGAGGAAUGCAUGGAAUCAUCAGAUCUUGGAAAUAACGACAGAUUUGUUUUGGGUUUUUUUUGUAAUCUUUCAUUCAGUCAUUAAAAAAUCCUUCAUUUAACAACAUAUUUUGCCAUCGUACUUAAAAAUACUUACAAAUUAUAAGUAAAAAUGAAAGCUUGCCUUCAAAACCCUUACACCAAAUUCUAUAUUCAAUUCUGCCUACAAUACAAAUCAUUGUUGAAAUGCUGCCUGUCUCUUUCCAAAUCUUUUCAUGACUUUAAAUACACACACACACACACACACACACACACACACACACAAUCAUAUUCUUUCAUUUUGUACUUUGCUCUUCUACUUUGCUAUAUCUUGGUCUUUUCAUUUUGGUCUACAUCGAUCUAUUUCAUCUUUUUAAAGCGUGUCCUAUUUCCAAGCGUGAAUCUACCAGAGUGUAUUUAACAUCUGCUCAUUUAAUGAUUACAGAAACUCUUCUGUAUAUGCCUUAACUAAAUCAAAUGUCGAAGAGAACAACUUUGAGCCUGCCUUUGUGCAAUGUGAGAAUGUUUUCUGUAGGGUAGGUACCUAAGAAAUAGGUGGGUUGAAGAAUUGUCACAUUUCUGAAUCACUUCCAUAAUGUCCUCCAAAUAAAAACAGAUCCAAUUUAUAAACUCACCCACAUUAUAUACAAGUAGGAUCUCCAAAUUUUUACCAACACAGAAAACCACCAACUUCUAAGUUGUUUCUUCUCUAGUUGAAUGUUUGCAUGGUUGUUCCAAGGAUUAUUAUGAUAAGCAGAUGUCCACAGGCACAGGCAAAGGAUAUGAGUUCCUUUAAUGUUAGUAAAGAAUACAAACUGCAUUGCAUGAGGAUGUCUAGACAAAGCAGCAAGGAGAUGUGCACAGUUCUCCUCACUGGACCGGCAAGUUUUGUCAGCCUUAAAGCCUACACAAAGAAGCACUUUUGCACGUGGCACCAUCCAAAUAGAGUAAAGUCCUCCUGAGCCAGCAAGAAGCUUCCUUGUGGCAGGUAGAAUGAUGGUUCCCCAAAGAUGUCCAUGCCUUAAUCCUCAGAACCUGUAAAUAUGUUGCCCAUGCGACCAAAGAGAGACUGUGGAUGUGAUUAUGGUUAAGGACUUGAGAUGGGGAGUUUAUCUUGCAUCAUCCAGGUGGAUUCAGUGUAAUAAAAAUCAAUCCUUAAAAGCAGAGAAGCUAUCCUAGCUGUGAUCAGAGAGACAGCUAUGUACACAGAAGGAUGGUCAGUGAGAUUCAGUGUUGCCGGCUUUGAAGACGGGGGAAAGGUGGCCACGAGACAAGUGACAUGCAAGGACAUGGAUUCUCCCCUAGGGCUUCUGGGAACAAGUACCAUCCUGCCAAUGUCUUGGUUUUAGCCCAGUGAGAUCCGCAUCAGAUUUCUAACCUACAGAACUGUACAAUGACAAAUCUGUGUCAUUUAAGCCACUAAGUUUGGGGUAAUUUGUUACAGCAGCAAUAGAAAACUAAUACACCCUUUCUCAUUGUGUGUUGGGGCAGGGAGCCAUG